AAGUCCUGGUUCAAAUGGACAGGACCUGCAGCUCAUCAGGGGGACUUGGGGGUGGUACAUUAGGGUUGAGUAGGAAACUGCAUCGAAAGGAGACAUCUCUUGUGAGCCAAGAUUUGAGAAUUCUGAGCAAAUUGCUCAGUUUAUCCUAAUCUGUUCAAAGCAUGCUUCAAGGAUCAUUCCCCCACAGGAGGGCAUGCAGGAUACCCAGAGAAAACAGGUAAAUCUGUCCCUGGAAGGACCUCAGAACACUCACCAGCAUUUUGAGAAACUUAGUGGAAGCUCUCCUCUCAGCCAGCCUUGGCAAUAGGAAAAAGACGGAUGACAGGAUUCCAGAAGACGAGACACAGGUAGUGGCAAUCAUCAGAUGUGAGGUUAGCAGUAGUGGGCAGCCUUGACCAGCCCUGGUCUGUGACAAAGGCCAAUAGCAAGACUGUUGCUUGGUUUAAAUAGCCAAAGAGGAGUAAGCUGGGAGCAGAAAGCUGAUGUUGGCCAUUUCUGUUGAACAUCAGGAUCUUGUUCUAUUUAUUACCAGAACAGAAUCAAGUCUCAGACCCAGAAGCCAUCAAUUGAAGUGGAGGGAGAGCCUGGCAUUACAAUUGUAUAAAAUAAAUAUAAAUAUUCCACGAACCUCACCCCAGCCCAGGAGAGCGAAUGACCCUAGUCCCUUGAGGGCUGUUGGACAUAGGGUGUGAGUUCAGGAUAUGUCUGCCAAUCUGUGGCCUUGGGCGUAACCGGGGCAUUUCCUCCGAGGACUGGUCAAGUGCAGUAGUGAGAAGAGGGGAAAGAGUAGAACAAGGAGUUCCAUCUGUAACUGACUGAACAAUCACAAGAUACCUUCCAACCAGCCACUAAUGUUAAUAAGUAUAACUCACUACCAUCAGACCCACCACACCUUACAACUUGUGUCACUAAAAAAGAGGCAUAAUUUUGGGUAUGUACAGUCGGCCAUCCAUACCAACUGUGGAUCCAAAUAUUUAGGAAAAACAAUACAAAAUAACAUUAUACAGCAAUCAAAAUAUAAAUUUAAAAAACAAUUCAG